ensembl:lncRNA
CAUCACCACACAAAUCAAAGGCUUCUCUCUGGCUUCAAAAGGAACAGGAACAGGAUACUUUGUGUUGGGAGUUCUGCACUGAGCGGGAACUAUGCUGUGCCUGUUUGAGCUGACCCACUAGGAAGCCCACAGAUAAGGCACAGAAGCCCAUCUCACUCAAGCCCACAGUCAUGUGGAAGGAAAUGACUGCACGGAUGAUGGUGGCCACCAACAGGCCCUGUACCCGGGGAGGAAUGGUUUGUCUCAAAGAUUAUCCCAAGAUAGCAGGCUACAGAUCUAAGAGAGUGGAUCUUGUUGUUGAAAUUCCAGGCACUAUGAUUCGUAUGCAUGUCCAUCCUGGAAGAAACAAGAUGGUCACUGAGGCUAGAGAUGUGAAGAAGCCAUUCAGUCAGCAAGGGAAACCUGUCAUCUGACUAUGUUCCUGCCUAUGCUGCCACCGUGUUCAAGAUAGAUGAGAGCUGCCCAAACGGGGGAGAAUUCACACACAAAGCAAGAUAAUGCUGCUAAUCACAUAGCCCUGGGAAGCAAAUGAACUACCAUAGAACCCAAGAACAUUAAAGACAAGAAUCAACUACUGGAUAACGUACAGGAAGUUGUAGUUAACUAAUCACCAAGUCUGGUGGGAAGCACGGUGAUCCUGAUUUUUGAUAAGAAGCUUUGACCCAGGCUUAUCUGUUUAUCUGUCUAAAAAAACAAAAAAACAAAAAAACAAAAAACAAACAAACAAAAAAAACCAGCCUUGUGGGUGAAUAACUUUACCGGCCAAGUAAUGAUUAAAGGCAUUCUAGAACUGAGAGAAACUCUAGGAAAUUUAAUAAUAAUAAAAAAAAAAAGGUUUCAUGUGAGGCAGAACUCAUUCAACCUACUGACUUAUAGAUAGCAAGUCAUCCAUUCAAAUAGUUAAAACUUCAUAAGGCUCCAAAAGAAACUCUGCACACAUGUAAUAGCUAAUUCUGCUUAACAACAUUUGAAAUAUGACCCUCGUCAGAGAUUAGAAGCAGUCUAAUUAGAGCUGAGUGUUGAUAGGCUUAAAGUCGAGCACCGCGGUUUGUAAACGGGUCUUUUUGGACUGCAAAGUCAGGGUCCUGUUGUUUGGAAAUAAUAAAGUUAAGAUAGACGCAUCUCAAAAAUCCUGUUUCUAAAACGCUAGGCCUGGGUUGUACAUUGAGCCUUUAUCUUUGUCAAAAAAAAAAAAAAAAAAAAAAAGAGAGAGAGAGAGAGAGAGAGAGAGAGAGAGAGAGAGACAGAUACUGCUAUAAUUACCAACAGCAAGGGUUUUGAUAUCUAUGAUUUUAGAGAACAAUGUUUCUGAGUGAAUAGGAAAGCAGCAGCCACUCAGAGAAGGGAGUGAUUAUGACAUAUACAGCUGCAGUAUGUCCUCAGAAGACACCGCAUCCUGUUAACUCCGCAGCUGGCUUUAUCCGUGCCUAUUACCCCAGCCUGAUGAGCAGCUGGGCAGAUUUUUUACCUUCUUGGUUUGAGCUAAAUUUCACUUUCCCAUGGCAAUCCGAAAUGCCAAACGCUGUAUGAAGUGUCUGGCAGACAUUUUACUUAGUCUCUGCAGCGAUCCUUUGAAGCAAGGGCUAGCCUCCUGUUUUACAGACGAGGACAGCGAGCGAGGCUCGGGGAUUUUGAGAUGGUUAACACAAGGUCGCAGAGGAACCCCCCGGAGCAAUCUCAGAUCUGGGCCAGGCUUAUUCUAGUCCUUCCUUUGUCCUCCUUUUCUCCUUUUCCUCUUCUUUAAAGCAUCUCUUCUCCCCUUUUUUUGAAAAUUUGCUAUGUAUCCCAGCUGGCCUCACACUUGGUAUAUUUCUCUCGCUGCAGCUUCUCAAGGGAUGGGUUAUAUAGGUGUUAGCGACCAUGCCCGCCUCUAGCCUACUCUUCUUAACAUCUAUCCUUCAACCCUACUCAAUUUAAAAUAGAUAAAACCAUGGCAGUUUGUAGGGAGGUAGAAGGCUCAUGUCCUAUAGGAUCACAGUGUGGGGACAGUUUUCUGCAGGUCAGUUUGGCAAACAAUGUACAUUCUAACUUAGCAAUUAAUCUAAGGAUUUAAGAAAAUAAUCUCCAAGCUGCAUGGAGGGCCGUGGUUAUAGAAUUAUUAAAAAAAAAUAAACACAAAAUCCCUGAAACACUGUAAACAAACUUGUAUAAUACUGUGUAAAGGCAUCUAACCAUUAAUGAUGAAAUUAUAUUGUUCAGCAAAAGAUACCAGAGUACCAAUAAACAUAGUGUAAUUUUAUUUUUGUACAUAAAAUUGAAUAAUAAGAGUUGGGAAUCUAGCGCAGUCAGUAGAUUGCUUGCCUUAUACACACGAGGCUCUGGCUUCCUUCCCAGCAUAUAGGGGGAGGGUGCAAAAGUACCACAACAAAAUUGAGUAUAUGUACAAAUCUACAUAUGUAUACAAUGUGUGGAAAGGUAUUCACUAUAAUUUUAUCUGGCUCACCAGUUGUUUUUUUCUUCAUUUCAUGUAUAUGUGUAGUGUGUGCACAGAUAUAAGUAUUAGGGCAUGCCUGUGAAUGCACACAUGGAUGCUUGAAUAACAGUCAGGUGUUUUCCUAUAUCACUGUCUCGACAAAAGACAGGGUCUCUCACUGACCCAGAACCUCACCAUUAGACUGGUUAGGCAGUGAGCUCCUGGGAUCUGCUGGUCUCUGCCCCCCAUUGUUGAAACUUAGGCAUACAUGUUUACAUGUGUUUCUGUUGUUGUUUGCUUUUGUUUGGAAUGGGUGUUGGGGACUCAAACUCAGGUUUGCAAACUCAAAAAGCAAAUGUUCUUACCCACUUAACUUUUUCCCUGUCCUCUUUAUUUUUUUAAAAAACUCUCCUUAUUUAUAUAUGAGUCAGUAUCAUUGUUAUAAAACAAAACUAUUUGAAAAAGCCAACAGUUAAGUCAGCUCUUGCCUUAACAACUAAAGUGCUUGAUGUAUACUAGCCAUGUG